rnacentral:ncRNA from 1 species
AGCGUCCUGCUCCUCUCGAAGCCUUGCGUUUAUACGUGGGGUACUUAUGUAGGGAGUGCGGGACGCU